rnacentral:rRNA from 1 species
GACGAACGCUGGCGGCGUGCUUUAUACAUGCAAGUCGAACGAUGAAGUUCCUUCGGGAAUGGAUUAGUGGCGAACGGGUGAGGAACACGUGAGAAACCUGCCUUUCAUUCUGGCAUAACACCGGGAAACCGGUGCUAAUACCGUAUACUCCGUCUUUGCGGCAUCGCCGAGCCGGGAAAAAAUUUUGAUGAAACAGUGUCUCGCGGCCUAUCAGCUAGUUGGUGAGGUAGAGGCUCAACAAGGCGACGACGGUUAGCCGGCCUGAGAGGGCGACCGGCCAGACUGGGACUGAGACACGGCCCAGACUCCUACGGGAGGCAGCAGUAGGGAAUAUUGGGCAAUGGGCGCAAGCCUGACCCAGCGACGCCGCGUGAGGGAUGAAGGUCUUCGGAUUGUAAACCUCUUUCAGUAGGGAAGAAGCGAAAGUGACGGUACCUAAAGAAGAAGCACCGGCUAACUAUGUGCCAGCCGCCGCCGUAA